UUCACCUACGGGGGGCAGCAGUGAGGAAUAUUGGUCAAUGGCCGAAGGGCUGAACCAGCCAAGCCGCGUGAAGGAAUAAGGCCCUACGGGUCGUAAACUUCUUUAGUCAGGGAACAAAGGGAGCCACGCGUGGCGCUGUGAGUGUACCUGAAGAAUAAGCAUCGGCUAACUCCGUGCCAGCAGCCGCGGUAAUACGGAGGAUGCGAGCGUUAUCCGGAUUUAUUGGGUUUAAAGGGUGCGCAGGCGGAGGUGCAAGUCAGCGGUCAAAUUGCGGGGCUCAACCCCGUACUGCCGUUGAAACUGCA
rnacentral:rRNA from 1 species